GAUGAACGCUAUCUACAGGCUUAACACAUGCAAGUCGAGGGGCAGCAUGGUCUUAGCUUGCUAAGGCCGAUGGCGACCGGCGCACGGGUGAGUAACACGUAUCCAACCUGCCGUCUACUCUUGGACAGCCUUCUGAAAGGAAGAUUAAUACAAGAUGGCAUCAUGAGUCCGCAUGUUCACAUGAUUAAAGGUAUUCCGGUAGACGAUGGGGAUGCGUUCCAUUAGAUAGUAGGCGGGGUAACGGCCCACCUAGUCUUCGAUGGAUAGGGGUUCUGAGAGGAAGGUCCCCCACAUUGGAACUGAGACACGGUCCAAACUCCUACGGGAGGCAGCAGUGAGGAAUAUUGGUCAAUGGGCGAGAGCCUGAACCAGCCAAGUAGCGUGAAGGAUGACUGCCCUAUGGGUUGUAAACUUCUUUUAUAAAGGAAUAAAGUCGGGUAUGGAUACCCGUUUGCAUGUACUUUAUGAAUAAGGAUCGGCUAACUCCGUGCCAGCAGCCGCGGUAAUACGGAGGAUCCGAGCGUUAUCCGGAUUUAUUGGGUUUAAAGGGAGCGUAGAUGGAUGUUUAAGUCAGUUGUGAAAGUUUGCGGCUCAACCGUAAAAUUGCAGUUGAUACUGGAUAUCUUGAGUGCAGUUGAGGCAGGCGGAAUUCGUAGUGUAGCGGUGAAAUGCUUAGAUAUCACGAAGAACUCCGAUUGCGAAGGCAGCCUGCUAAGCUGCAACUGACAUUGAGGCUCGAAAGUGUGGGUAUCAAACAGGAUUAGAUACCCUGGUAGUCCACACGGUAAACGAUGAAUACUCGCUGUUUGCGAUAUACUGCAAGCGGCCAAGCGAAAGCGUUAAGUAUUCCACCUGGGGAGUACGCCGGCAACGGUGAAACUCAAAGGAAUUGACGGGGGCCCGCACAAGCGGAGGAACAUGUGGUUUAAUUCGAUGAUACGCGAGGAACCUUACCCGGGCUUAAAUUGCAGAUGAAUUACGGUGAAAGCCGUAAGCCGCAAGGCAUCUGUGAAGGUGCUGCAUGGUUGUCGUCAGCUCGUGCCGUGAGGUGUCGGCUUAAGUGCCAUAACGAGCGCAACCCUUGUUGUCAGUUACUAACAGGUUCCGCUGAGGACUCUGACAAGACUGCCAUCGUAAGAUGUGAGGAAGGUGGGGAUGACGUCAAAUCAGCACGGCCCUUACGUCCGGGGCUACACACGUGUUACAAUGGGGGGUACAGAGGGCCGCUACCACGCGAGUGGAUGCCAAUCCCCAAAACCUCUCUCAGUUCGGACUGGAGUCUGCAACCCGACUCCACGAAGCUGGAUUCGCUAGUAAUCGCGCAUCAGCCACGGCGCGGUGAAUACGUUCCCGGGCCUUGUACACACCGCCCGUCAAGCCAUGGGAGCCGGGGGUACCUGAAGUGCGUAACCGCGAGGAGCGCCCUAGGGUAAAACUGGUGACUGGGGCUAAGUCGU
rnacentral:rRNA from 1 species